rnacentral:tRNA from 2 species
GGGCCGAUAGCUCAAUCGGUAGAGCAAAAGCCUUUUAAGCUUUUGGUUCUGGGUUCGAGUCCCAGUCGGCUCACUA